rnacentral:rRNA from 1 species
CGUAUGUGACUGUGGAUCGAGCCCAUGUGAAGCCUCUUCGACGAGUCGAGUUGUUUGGGAAUGCAGCUCAAAAUGGGUGGUAAAUUUCAUCUAAAGCUAAAUACUGGCUGGAGACCGAUAGCGCACAAGUAGAGUGAUCGAAAGAUGAAAAGCACUUUGGAAAGAGAGUCAAACAGUACGUGAAAUUGUUGAAAGGGAAGCGCUUGCAACCAGACCUGUCCGUAGGUGAUCAGCCGCUGUUCUCAGUGGUGCACUCGCUCUGCGAUCAGGCCAGCAUCGGUUCGGGCGGUCGGAUAAAGGCCUUGGGAAUGUAGCUUUCUUUGGGGAGCCUUAUAGCCCUCGGUGCAAUGCGGCCAGCCGGGACCGAGGACCGCGCUUCGGCUAGGAUGCUGGCGUAAUGGUUGUAAGCGACCCGUCUUGAAACACGGACCAAGGAGUCUAACAUCUAUGCGAGUGUUUGGGUGUUAAACCCAUGCGCGGAAUGAAAGUGAACGGAGGUGAGAACCCUUAAGGGCGCAUCAUCGACCGAUCCAGAUGUCUUCGGAUGGAUUUGAGUAUGAGCAUAGCUGUUGGGACCCGAAAGAUGGUGAACUAUGCCUGAAUAGGGUGAAGCCAGAGGAAACUCUGGUGGAGGCUCGCAGCGGUUCUGACGUGCAAAUCGAUCGUCAAAUUUGGGUAUAGGGGCGAAAGACUAAUCGAACC